CUACUCCCUCCGUUACUAAAUAUUUGUCUUUUUAGAGAUUUCAACUGGUAGUCCAUUUGAAAUAUCUAAAAAUACAAAUAUUUAGGAACAGAGAGAGUAGAUGUAAAUUAGACAAACUGGUAAACUAAUCUCUGUAUUUUCUGGUUUGAUAUGGCGGUGAUGAUAAACACUUUCAGCAAACAUGCCAGUUCUGCUUCUGAGAAUUCAUGACUGAAAAACCUGUUAUAUUGAUCUGAGCCAUUGCAAUUGACAAAAGCUGUGUCAUCCCAGUGGUGAUACCUGGAAAAUCAUGAUUAAUGUUUCUGUUAAACCUGUGUAUCUUCCAUGUGUUCUUGAUCUAAAUUUGGAGCUUGUAAUUCGUUCUGAAAAUUGUCUGAAAUCCCAAUGAUGCUAUGCCCAACAUUUAGAGGUGCAUAUGGCUCCAGGAUCCUGUUUACAGGAUGAACCUACCUGGAGGCGCUGUAUCCACAUGACAUCCACGGGCAAGUCUGAGGUUCUUGAUUAUCACAUCAAACUUUUCUUGCUGUUUUCAGGUUGACCUCUGUUUUUUUAACUGAUAAAACUAACAAUUUGUUUAACGUCUUUGCUGAGUUUAACUAAGCUCUGUAUUUUCUUGUAAAAUGUUAAUUUAGAUGUGAUUGAGUUUAACCAUUUCUGAGGCUGAGUUUAACUAUAUUUAAUUUUUGGUUUAAUCAGUGGGAGAUAAGAUGAUGAAUAGAUUAAUUUCCCUAUUGGUUUGAUUGGCUGAUAUGAUGGCCUCAAUACUGAACCAAAUCUGACCUCUCUCUUUUUGACAUUUUUUAUUUAAUUUCCCUAUUGGUUUAAUUUCCCGAUUUUGAUUCCUGUGGGUGAAAUGAGGAUUAAAUAAUUUUAUUGAUGGACGGUAUGAUGUCCAUUGAAUCAUGUAUUAGCUCUAUCUGAUCAUUCUCUACUGAGUUUUGUUCUUUCAUUUUUAAGUAUUUCUUUUUUGUUGUUUGAACGCCUGUUUUUGAUAAACACGAGUUUAUGGGUAAUUUGUGUCUGAGGCAUUUCUUUGAUGUCACUCUUUUCACCUUGGGAGAUCUGAUGCAUCCUGCCUCCCUCAUGUCUUUUGCGUUCUUGGUACUUUUCUUGGAAAAUAUUUUUUUUUGUUUUAAUGAGAUGAGAUGAUGAAUAAGAUUAAUUUCCCUAUUGGUUUGAUUGGCUGAUAUGAUGGCCUAAAGUACUGAACCGAAUCUGAUCAUCUUCUUGCUUCCUAGAAAAAGUUAUCUGAUUUUACUUGCCGAUUGUUUUAUUCUUUGUAGAGUAAUAUCAUCUAUUAAUUUUCUAAUUCAAUCGGUGGAAGUGAGAUGAUGAAUGAUUUAUUUCCCUAUUGGUUUGAUUGGCCAGCAUAAUGGCCUAUAUACUGAAUCUAGUCUGAUCGUCAUCACUGGUUUGAUACGAGAAAGUAAUAUAUUUUGUUUUUGAAAUAUUGGAAAUCUUCUUUGUAUAUGCUACUAAAACGAGCCUGAAUUGUUUCUUGCUGUCUCUCUUUCUUGUUCUUUUGAAAUCUUGUUUUUUCAAGUUGUUUGUUGUUCUGGGAUGAGUAUUAUUGAUGCAAAUGAUGAGACACAAGUUUUAUGGGUAAUUUGUUUCUGUGAUGUCACACCCUUUUCACCUUGGAGAUCUGAUGCAUCCUUGAUAAAGUUCACUUAUGUUGUGUUCUUACUUUGUGUUUCCUUUAUUUCUGAUGAUGUCUAGAUCGAUCUUGGGUUAUACUUGCCCCCAAAUUCCAGUUUAUCCUAUGUGCUUCUGUAGUUUGUGAUGCCUUUUUAUCUAGUUUAAUUCAAGUUCUUGUGGCACUGAUUUAAAUUUGAACCUUUGCUGGUGCAGUGAUUAUAAAACAUUCCUCGUACUGAUGGGAGAUCCCUGUGAACGACUCCUAUAUACCCAUAGAAUCUGAGCACCAACAAUAUGGUUUCAUUAGAUUCUUCCUUUUUGUGCUUAUUCGCCCUGAGAUUGUUUUGUUCUUGGACUCCAAACUAAUGUUUAAGAAUUCUGUUAUAUAUCACCACCAUACUCUGAGUCCUUAGUCUUUUUGUUUGUCUGUGCCGAGGAUUAAACUAAUCUAUAGACAAGCAUAUGUCUGAAUUCUCGUCAUGUGGAGCGAUCUAAUCUUCUCUAUGAGGCCAAUCUUUUUCAUUUCUUUAUCUGCAGUUUUAUUUGAUGUGUUCUGAUGUUGUGUGAAGCCGCUAAUGAUUAGCGUGACCUUUUCUCAAUGAAAUCACUAAUGAUUACAUAACCUACUGCCUUCCUUCUGAGGCAUCAUGAUUCCUGGAAUUCUUCUGUGUUUUUUUUCUGUUAAUUCGUUUUGGUUUGCCUGUUGAUUCAGUGGUUUGCCCAGGUCGAAUGAUGAUCACAAGUUCAUAGUUCAUAUGAUCAAAUCGUGAUUACUUGAACAAAAAAUAGUCUUUUGCUCCUAUCUGACGACCUUUCAUCCUCAUCCUUUUCAGGAGAAUCAAACAAAAGUUUUUUUUGUCUUUUUCGCAUUUACAUGUAGAACCCUACAUUAUUAUGGUGUAGAUGUAUAGAUUCCUUCGAGGAUGGUGAAGAUUGAUAUUUGGUCUCGUUUGUCGUAACUGGCAUUUAUUUGCCUUGCCGACCAUCCUGCUAUAUCACCACCCAUAUUCUGAGUCCUCUUAUUAUAUACUAUCUUGGUUUUUCAUGUUAAUUCUGUUUUGGUAUUUGGCUUAUGAUUAAACUAAACUAAAUAGAGAAUCAAUUUCUAUCUGCUCAUUAAAUAUGUUGAAUUUUUGUACAAUAAAUAUGAUCUUCCAGUGUGAUUAUCAGUUGCCACGUUCUUAGCGAGUUCCUAUUCGUUUGUUUUUGAGAUAUCUUCUGUGGUUGUUGUGAUCUGUUCACUAAUUUUCGAAGUUCAGCUUGUUGUCAGAAGGAUUAGGUUCUUCAGAUCACUUUAAACUUUGAUUGCGAAUGCACAACAGAUACUUUGAUGCUUGCAAUGUUUUUCCAAACCAAUUUGAGGAUGAUGAUUUCAUAUUUGUCGCCCCAGUCUUAGGGUCUGCAUUGGUGGAUCUGUGCUGAUUGACAUACUUCUGAAUCUGACUCGGUAGAUGGUGAUAUUAUAUUUGCGCUCUGUUAGUCAUCUUUUCUAGUUGGUUGAUUUUUCUUUGCAGACUUGUUCUUUUUCUUUGGUGAUGGCAGUGACGAUUUGCAAAUAUUCAAGCUCAACAGACCUAAUCAAAGAUUUUCUCUCCGGAGUUGAUUUGUAUGCCGAUUACCCCGCUGAACCGAGCCAUCUGAUACCUGAUUUUGUUUUUCUGUGGUUCAUUGUUCUUUUCUCUCAAUUCUCAAUGUAUCUUUUGUGUUUGAUUUUGUUUGUUUCUUUUGGGGGAUGUAGUUGCGAUGAGGAUAAUAAGCUCCCUCUUCUGAAAGCAUUGACGACAUCGCUGUAUGAAUCGAACCAAUUAAAUAUUGCCACCACUGAGCAACUCUGUAUCGUCGAACAAUCUCUCUUGGAUGUUAUUGAUCGUUUGCUUCUUCUUACCUUCCAGUUACAUUAUCUGUUUGGAUUGUUAGGAGUUAUUGAUGCAUAGUUCUACAUUUUAUCUGAGGGUGGCUUGAGUUGUGAAGCAUGGACAUGGCUGGAAGUGCCGAACUGCCGUUCUGAUACGGCAGGAUACGGGGAUACGGCGGGAUACGCCGGAAUACGCGAAAUUUGCAGUAUCCCCCGAAUUUCAAUUUUGAAAAAAGAAAAAACAUAGGGAUACGCUGGGACACGUGCGGGAUUCGUUUGGGACACGGCCGGGCCCAAAACAGCCUCGGACCAACCCAGUAUACCUAACCUAUUUGGAGGAACUCCCGCUCUCGUCUCAAGGACGAAGUGCUCCCUCCCAGCCUCCCCGCGCCGCCAGCCUCCUGGAUCGAAGCCGCCGCCGCCUUGACUCGUCGCCACCGCCGGCGGCGGCGCCUGGAUUCGACCGGCGACCGCUGGUACUACCCCCAGCCUCGCAGAUGCAGCUUGCAAUGACAACAUGACAUGGGGGGAUGAGGAUCAAUCAAUCAUCACUUGAUAAAAGAGACACCAAAUGGGGCACUAUCCUCUAUUAUGAUCUCUUUCUCAUUAAUUUUCUGUCUUAAUUGUAUAUUAUAUGGCAUAUUUUUAUUUUAUUUUAUAUAUACUCGACGUAUCCCUGAAUGGCUGUUUUUGAAAAAUGCCGUAUCCCGUA